rnacentral:rRNA from 1 species
UACAGAGGUGGCUAGCGUUGUUCGGAUUGAUUGGGUGUAAAGGGUGCGUAGGCGGUUUAGAAAGUUGGAUGUGAAAGCCCAUGGCUCAACCAUGGAAUUGCAUUCAAAACUUCUAGACUGGAGUGCGAGAGAGGUGAAGGGAAUUCCCGGUGUAAGGGUGAAAUCUGUAGAGAUCGGGAGGAACACCAGUAGCGAAGGCGCUUCACUGGCUCGUAACUGACGCUGAUAGCACGAAAGCAUGGGUAGCAAACGGGAUUAGAUACCCUAGUAGU